rnacentral:lncRNA from 1 species
AUGAGAAUACCAAGGACCAGAGAUGCUAAAUGAAGCCACCUAAGUGACAUGGACCAUUGAGACUCGAUUCCAGACUCUCUCUCCCGUCCAACCCUCUAGACUGUGCAGCUCUCUGCAUGCCGGCCUGUCUCACCUGAAAGUGGAAGUGCAGCGCUUUCAUCCCAUGUAAAGGAAACAGACACUUCCUGAUCAUCUGCUCCAGGCUACUCCUGGGCUGCAGCUUCAUCAGCUCUUGCCCGAAGUGGCUCCGCCUGAGCCUGCAGGGCCACAAAGAGAACGGUGGCAGUGAGGAGGGCAAGGGUCCUCAUGGCUACAGAGACUUGGAGGAGGGAGAGCAGGAGCAGAUGUGUGGGGAGAGAGGAGUUAGCCUGGGUUUAUAGGUCUGCAGAGAGAAGGCUCAGAGACCAGAAACUUUGAAACUUCUCAGUGAGAGGAGGUGUGCAUUUCAUCGGGGA